GACGAACCGAGCGAACGUUGUUCGGAAUCACUGGGCUUAAAGGGCGCGUAGGCGGGCUGUCAAGUUUGGGGUGAAAUCCCACGGCUCAACCGUGGAACUGCUGGGCAUACUGCGGGUCUUGGGCCAUCCAGGGGCGAGCGGAACAAGCGGUGGAGCGGUGAAAUGCGUAGAUAUCGCUUGGAACGCCAAGGGUGAAAACAGCUCGCUGGGGAUGCGCCGACGCUGAGACGCGAAAGCCAGGGGAGCGAACGGG
rnacentral:rRNA from 1 species